UACGGAAUGUGCAAACGUUAUUCGGAAUCACUGGGCUUAAAGAGUCCGUAGGCGGCAUGUUAGGUGAGGUGUGAAAUCCCCCCGGCUCAACCGAGGAAUUGCGCUUCAUACCGGCGUGCUAGAGGAAGAUAGAGGUGGGCGGAACUGAUGGUGGAGCGGUGAAAUGCGUAGAUAUCGUUUGGAACGCCAAUGGUGAAAACAGGUAGCUGGAGUGUGCCGGACGCUGAGACACGAAAGCCGGGAGCGAACGGG
rnacentral:rRNA from 1 species